rnacentral:rRNA from 1 species
UACGGGGGGGGCAAGCGUUGUUCGGAAUUACUGGGCGUAAAGGGCUCGUAGGCGGCCAACUAAGUCAGACGUGAAAUCCCCAGGCUCAACCUGGGAACUGCGUCUGAUACUGGAUGGCUUGAAUCCGGGAGAGGGAUGCAGAAUUCCAGGUGUAGCGGUGAAAUGCGCAGAUAUCUGGAGGAAUACCGGUGGCGAAGGCGGCAUCCUGGACCGGCAUUGACGCUGAGGAGCGAAAGCCAGGGGAGCAAACGGG